rnacentral:tRNA from 1 species
GCCUGGGUGGCUCAGUUGGUUGGGCACCUGACUUUUGCUCAGGUCAUGAUCUCAUGGUUUGUGAGUUUGAGCCCUGCAUCGGGCU